AAUGGCCAAAGUCCUCUAGUUGUGAUUAAUACAGGCCAACCUUAUACCCUUCUAUUAAAAAAACACGGAUACAUUAGGUUUCACAUCCAUUUCAAAACAUUUCAAAAUCGCCGCUUCCCUGCUCCUCUCUCUCUCUCUCUGGCGAUUCGAGAUCUGUAUCUAGGUUUUUUCUCCAAACAUACAUUCUUAUGAAAUCAGAAAGAUGAACCUUCGGUGUAGUUGCAGUCGGUGGAAAAAAGAUCCAGGUAGUUUUUUUUGCUGAAUUUUUCUUAGAUCUACCGGACCACCAUCAACUUUUAGCGUAUUUUGUUGUUUUGUUGUAGCAUUGCAGAUCUGAGUUUUUAGCCACAUUCAAGAACGGUACAAACAACAUUCUUGCGUCAAUCAGAAGGAUGAAGCUUCGGUGUAUUGAAAUCAGGAAACAAGCACGGCUAGGAAGAUAACAAGCUCGGAUAUGAUAGGUUUGCUUUGGUAUAGUUGCAAUCGGUGGAUGAAGACUUGAUGGAAGUUGUUUUGGUUUGCUAGGGUUCUGUCACGAACCCAGGCAGUGCUGACGCCUUAGAAGAGCCCGAUAAUGAUUAGGGGUUGAUUCCAGGUUAUGUUGCAGUUGGGCGGUAUACAUAAAAAAAACAACUUUCAUACAUGAUAAAACAAGGGGAAGGUUUAUCGUAUGCUAAAAACCAGCCAAGCCCAAGCCUAAAAAAUUGUUUAUUCAAUGAGCCCCGGCUUUCCAGAUUUGUCAAUUUUCAACAAAUCCGACUACGAUGUUGGUGGCUAAGAUUCCAUAAAGGGCUUUCCAGAUUUGUCAAGUUUCAACCUUUAAACGGGUUCAUUCAGAA